UCUUGCAUCAUCUUUUUUUAAAUUCUCUCAAAAGAAUAUUCUUUCUAUCGAAAACUCUUCUAAAUCCAAGAGAAAACUAAGAUGAUGAUAAUAUCUUAUGGAUGGAAAUGUGAUGAUGACUUUGGAAAAUGUCAAUUCGGAGAGAGAGAGAGAGAAACAUAUUAAUAUCUAUGAAAGAAAUUGAUACCUAAUCAAUUAGGUUAAUUUUCUAUGAUAAAAAGAAAACAAACUUCUCUUGAAUGAUUUACAUUUUCUAUCUAAUUACUAAUCAAUAGACUAAUUGGAAUAACUAAUUAUCAUCUCAUCAAAAUUUUCUCUUCUUCUCUCAAUAUGUGUUACCUAUUUUUCUGUUCAAUGUUUAUCUCUUUUUCUUUUGUCAUGUUAUUGUUUUCAUUUCUAUUCUGAGUUUCCCUCUUCUUUCCAAUUCUCUCACUUCUUCUUCUUCUUCUUCUUUUCUCUUCAUGUGAUUUAUUUCUCACAAUCAAUUGAUUCUCAUAAGGAAAUACAAUUAAUCAUCUCUAUUGGAGAAAAGUUACUUUUCUGUUCUAUCAUUUAAACUGUUGCUCUCUGUCUAUUUCUCUUUAUAAUCUCUGUCUAUGUUUCUAAUGUUUUUUCUAUUUUUUUUUUCUCUAUUCUCUCUUUUGUUAUUUUCUCUCUUCUCUCUUACCAGUAAUUCUAAGACAAAGGGUAUUUCUCUCUCAAUGGAUUAUCAUGAUAAAAGAUCAACAAGUUGUUACUUCAACCAUAAUUCUCACCAUAGAAUCCAUUUUGUUUCGACUGUUGAUCUGAUUGAUUUACUUUAUUGUGAUUAACUCUCAUUCUCAACCCAAAAUCUUAUCUUUUUAUUUUCCUUUCCAAUUCCAAUACAUUAACCUAAUCAGCUUUUCUCCCUCUCCCUCUCUCCAUUUCAUGUAUUCUCCCUGCUACCUGUUGUCAUUCUUAUCAUCAUCAUCCAUUUUUAUAGAGUUUUCGAUAAGUUCCAAAACCAAUAAUCAAUCAAUGGUUUUUGAUUAUCGUUACCUCAUUUUCUAGAUUGUCAGUUGAUCAGAAUUCUGUCAUCAUGUUAUCAGGAUCUUUUAAAUUGGAAAUCACUGAAGAGCAACUUGGCAACAACAAUUGGACUUAGGCCAGGGAAAGAAAAAUAGAAACAACGAAGGAUAAAAGAUGAAGAGAAAAGGGUCGCUGAUGGAAAUCCGGAUAAACACCAAAAGAAUACGGAAAAUGAUGAAAAUUGAUGAGAAAAUUACUUAGAAUCGAGAGAGAGAGAGAGAGAGAGAGAGAAGAUGGAUGUCUGGUGAUUCCUCCAUUUGUCUCUUGAUCAAGAUGACGAUUGUCGAUAAUGUUCAAUAUUCGUUGCAUAUUAUUUACAGGGAAAAACUCACUAUCAUUUUCAUUCAUGUUUAGAAUCAUCUUAAUCUUCAUCAACCAUGAAACCAACAACCAACAUCAAGAAUAACAAUCUACGCUGAAUUAACGACGUAAAUUAAGAUUCAUCUAUUUUUCAUCAUGUUUUUUUCUACCCCUUGGCAAUUCAACAAUAUUAUUACCAAAGUUAAGUAAAUAAAUAUCAAUGGGCUAUCAUCACCAUCAUCAUCAUCAUCCUCAUCAUCAACAAUGUUAUAAAUUAACUGAUCAUCAAUAUGAGAAAUUUCAUCACGAUUUCGACUAUUACUCGGAUUAUCAAUCGAUCAUGUUGAACAAUAAAGAUUAGGAAAAUUAUAAUAUCUCAAAAUUUUUCUCGCUAAUCAUAACUUUGAUUUUUCGCUCAUGUUAAUUGUUUCAAUUAAAUUGAUGGAGAAAAUAUUAAUGAUACAACUUGAAGUUAUAAUUAAUCAACUAUGUUCAAUGUUCAUAUGAUCAAUUAUCAACUUAAGGAAAUGUUGAUUAGAAUUCAUCAAUGAAGGUAAAAAGAACAUUUAUAUUCUUAACAUGAUGUGAAGGAAAAAAAUCAACAUGAAUUGAGAAAUCAAUCGAUGAAGAGAGAGAGAGAGAGAGAGAGAGAGAGAAAAUGUAACAAUUUAAUCAAUGAACGUUAAUCACUAGGAAAGUUUUACGGAUUAUCAGAAAAUCACCAAAUGAACACAUAGUUUUUCACCUAUGGGGUCAAUAAGGAGAUUAAACCAGUAGUGAGAGAGAUGAUGAUGAUGAUGAUGAUUAGCCAAAUAUCAACAAGAGCCAAGAAAACAUGAAGAUGAUUAUGAAAAUGAUGAUUAACAUACACACAAAGUUACGAAGUCAUCAAGGUAGGAUAAAAAGCUAACUUACAAUCAGGAACCUGUCAUCACCAAGCGAAUUGAAAUUCUCAUUGGAAAAUCAUCUUCUCAUCUUGAACCACCUCCCUGCUCCUCAUCAUCAUAAUUAAAUUGAGACUAAUUUACUAAUAGUUAUACAUUUCACAAUCUAUCAACAACAAGACAAAACUUUCAUCGGCACAAUGAGUUAUACUUUUUUUUCACGUGAAAAACGUUUUGUUUUGGUCUUUAGCAGAUUGAUUAUAAUCAAUCAUAAUCUUAUCUAUGCCCACCACAAGCAUAAAAACGAUGCUAAUCCCAUAAUGAUCAUGGAUCAACUAAUACAGAUAAUUGUUGACUUUUCUAGGAGAACAAUUAAAAAAAAAUUUUUUUUUCUACACACAAUGAACAAUGGAAAGUCAAUUGAACAAUUAAUGGAACAAUUUAAUCUAUGGAUUUACCUCAAAUGUAUAUGCCUCAAUUAUUGUCACUUUUAAUUGUUUUCUCUCUCUCUCUAAAACAUUGAGACCCAAAGUUGAACAUCAUUAACGUAAAGUUUUUCUCGAUCAUCAUCAUCAUCAAUAAUCGAGGAGUAACUAAUCAACUAAAAUAAUCUGAAAGCGAAGGACAAACCUGAUGAUUGGUCGAAAUUGGUUUGGUUUCUAUCAAGGGCAAAAUCGUUUUAAUCAGAAUCAAGUUAAUGUUUUUCUCUCCUUCUCUUGAUUAUCAUCAUCAUUUAAUUUCACUGAUGAUAAUGAUGAUCAAGGGGAUAACUUUGUUUGUUUGAGUGAGUAGCAAGAUAAAUGCUCACCCAUAAUCAAAGUUAACAAGUCUUCACACACACACACACACAUAAACAGAGACACUCACGCAAAUGAUACUUUGAAUGUUCUGACAAUUUAUCAAUUUUCUCUUACAUUUUCAUCAUCAUCAUCAUCAUUAUCUUCUCAUCAUAUUGAAAGUGUUUAUUUCAAAGUUUCAAUUUUCUUCUGAAAAUUUCUCUUGAAACAUUCUUUUGACAACUUUUUAAUUUCUCACUCUAAUCAGUUAACGAUGAAAUUUUAUCUUCUCAAAUAUCAGAAAAAUAACAUUUUAAAAUCACCAAAAUAGUUCAUAGGUGAGCAUUUAAUCAGAUACUUAUAUUAUAUUAUCACUUUCAUCGUUAGCAUCAUCAUCAUCAUCAUCAAGAAGGAAAGAUGAUAAAUAUUAUCAUUAAUAUUCAUGUAGUUAAUUGAUCAACCAUUGGAUUGAGAGAGAGAGAGAGAGAGACGAAAUGUUCACCUAAUAUCAUUUACUUCAUCUUAAUUUCUCUCGGUGAGAGAGUCAAAUAGAUGCUUAGAAUGUUAAUUAUGAUGAUGAUGAUGAUGAUGAGAUGAAACUGUCAACUAAUUUACCAAUGAUUCUGAUAAUAUUGAUCUUAUUUAACUUUUUCAAAUGAUUGUUUUCCAUCAGAUAAAAUGUCUCUCAUUGAACUUGUUAAGGUUUUUACCUUUUACUCUGAUUAAUUGGUCUCCUCAUUAUUAGAUAAAAUUUUGCAACAAUCAAUUUUGUUCUGAUUGUUACAAUUGAUUAAUAUACUUUAUUACCUUUUCUCCCUCUUUUAUCAUUAACAAUUAACUAGAUUAAUCACUUUUUUUUUCUAUGUUACCAGAUUAAUCUACCUUUCUAAUCUACCUGGUUAGUACCUUUAUCAAAUCAUUUGACUUGGAUGAUCGUGAUUAUCGUCAUGACAAUUAACUAAUUUUUCUGGUUAAAUUUCAAGUGUUUACCAGAUCAAUAAUUGUUGAGAUUCACGAUUUUCUCAGCGAAAGUUGCAAGCAAAACUUUAAAUGCUACAGGCAAAGAAAAAAUAUCGUUCCAACGAUCUCAAAAAUCUUCAAUCGAACCAUCGUCAUAGGUGGACAGGGUUAAAGUUCAUCGACUAACGAAAAAUGACCCAAAAAGACCGAAGAAAAGAAAGAAAUGAAAGAGGAAAACGGAAUUGAUGAGGGAAUUGUAAUGAAGAAAAGGGAUUAAAAGUGAGUCGAUUAUGUUGAUCGUCCGAACGAAAAAUCCAUGGAUAAUGUUGAUCGCAGUUCCAUUGUAAUUAUUGCUAUUCAGUGAGAAUUUAACUGUUAAAUGUCAAUUUUAAUUGCGAUUUAAUUAGAUUGCGAUCUGAGAAAUUGAAGGUGACUUUUUUUUCCUGUGAUAGUUAUUAAUUAAUCUCAUCUUUCUGUCCCAAAGUUUAUCAUGAGACUAAUUAUGUUUAAUUAUCACAACAAUUAAUACCUGUAUAUACCCACAAUAAUGUAAAGUUGGUGAUUAAGUUGGUUGUUCAUUAUAAUUAUGAUUACACUCUGAUUGAUUGUUAUUAUUAUUAUAUUGAAAACAACUCAAUGUCAAUUGAUUAUCAUUUAAUUAACCAUAUUAGUUAAUAAAUAUUAUAACGAAAAUA